AUUACUCAGUGCGUAGCUGUUGGUAUCAGACAAAGAUAUGGAUUAAUCCUACGCUGCCGCAAUCAACUGAGUUUAAAUCCAGAUUCCUGGCAGUACGUCAAUCAAACUUUGAGCGGAUCACUCAGACAAGUUCACAACAAAGUUACUCUGUUAGAGAUGAGUUAGACAAAGGAAUUAUACUGUUUAAAACUAUUAGGGAUUUAGUUCAGUGUACGCAUGAAUGUAGCUAUUGGAUUGCGGCAAAAUUGGUGAAUUUGAAACUUGACCGAGGAUGGUCAUACUUGGCAUGCAACAAGUGUACUAAAAAGGUUGACAAAGUUGGU